rnacentral:snRNA from 1 species
AGUUUUGUGCAGUGGCAGUAUCGUAGCCAAUGAGGUUUAUCCAAGACACGAUUAUUGCUAAUUGAAAACUUUUCCCAUAAGUC